rnacentral:lncRNA from 10 species
UAUUAAGAAGCUGGAUGAUGUCACAGACUACAGGUAAAUUAUACUCCAGUGUGUCUCAGAAAGGCAAAGAUGAGCAGGAACAGAAAACAAGGAUAGCAAGUGUUUGGAUCAAGAAUCAAGAAUGACAACUCCAGGAGAGCAGAUGAGUAAUGGAUACUUCAAGUCAUGUCAGCAACAGAAUCUGUGGAAGAACUCUGGAGAAGCGAAGAUACCGGAUAUUGGUGACCUGGGAGGAUUUAGGAAGCGGCAAAUGGAUGGACGCAGUAAGACUAAAGUUCAAAGAUAAAAGAGAAGCAUCUGUCAACUGAUGAAGGAACUGUCUUUACAGAAAAUAAGAAGACACACAGAGACAACUGGGAGAAAGCCAUGUGAAGAUG